AUAAAAAAUGCACGUAUUAAUUUUUUCAUAUUCGUCCUUUUUUUAAAUUUGAUUUUACCAAUUAUUGACUCUAAUAUUCUAUUUAUUAAUAAUUUUAAAUUUAUCUGAUAUCUGCUACAUUCACACUUAUCUUGUAAUUUACAAUAAAAUAGAUUUGAUUUAUUGCAAUAAUAGAAGUGACAAAAACUGGGUUAAUAAUUAAGAAAAAUGGUCGGCACAUGUUUUUCAAUGUGUUCAGGAAAAGAAUGACGUCUAAGAGAACGAGAAGGUUUAUUACGCAUUUCAGAGAUCGAUGGAAAACCUAAAAAUCAAAGGCACAAAAAAGCUGAUUUCACUAAAAUAAUGAAAUGUUUUCAAAGAUCCAGUGUAGAGUUUCACUCCAAAAAGGCAUACGCUGGAGCUUAAUUUAUGAAUUAACAUUCAACAGGAUCCGGGCAAUAAAAUAAGACAUGAU